GGCCGGGCGACGGUAGUCCCGGUUUAAGCGUGUAGGUGUGUGUUCCAGGUAAAUCCGGUUCACUUUAACACUGAGGCGUGAUGACGAGGCACCACGGUGCUGAAGCAACAAAUGCCCUGCUUCCAGGAAAAGCCUCUAAGCAUCAGGUAACAUCAAAUCGUACCCCAAACCGACACAGGUGGUCAGGUAGAGAAUACCAAGGCGCUUGAGAGAACUCGGGUGAAGGAACUAGGCAAAAUGGUGCCGUAACUUCGGGAGAAGGCACGCUGACAC
rnacentral:rRNA from 1 species